CCUACGGGCGGCAGCAGUGAGGAAUAUUGGUCAAUGGGCGAGAGCCUGCACCAGCCAAGUCGCGUGAAGGAUGAAGGAUCUAUGGUUUGUAAACUUCUUUUAUAUGGGAAUAAAGUGAGGAACGUGUUCCUUUUUGUAUGUACCAUAUGAAUAAGCAUCGGCUAACUCCGUGCCAGCAGCCGCGGUAAUACGGAAGAUGCGAGCGUUAUCCGGAUUUAUUGGGUUUAAAGGGUGCGUAGGUGGUUAAUUAAGUCAGCGGUGAAAGUUUGUGGCUCAACCAUAAAAUUGCCGUUGAACCUGGUUGACUUGAGUAUAUUUGAGGUAGGCGGAAUGCGUGGUGUAGCGGUGAAAUGCAUAGAUAUCACGCAGAACUCCGAUUGCGAAGGCAGCUUACUAAACUAUAACUGACACUGAAGCACGAAAGCGUGGGGAUCGAACAGGAUUAGAUACCCGUUAGUC
rnacentral:rRNA from 1 species